rnacentral:rRNA from 1 species
AGUGAACGCUGGCGGUGCGCCUAAAACAUGCAAGUCGAGUGGGUUCAGACCCACGGCAGACGGCUGCGUAACACAUGGGUACCUACCCCGAACUCAGGAAUAUCCCGCCGAAAGGCGGAGUAAUGCCGGAUAGUCCCGCAAGGGUAAAGCUUUCGCGGUUCGGGAGGGGCCUGUGCCCUAUCAGUUAAUUGGUGAGGUAA